rnacentral:lncRNA from 1 species
GAUGUGAAAGUGUAUAAAUGUGAUAAGUCCCGAAGGGCAUUUGUGUCAGUACUAUAUCCGGGUUAAAACCCCGCAGGCUUUAUGCGAGAAUAUUAUCACUGAUUAAUGUCCUUAAGCUUCGUGCUCGUACUAUAUCCGAGCUCUAAAGACCCGAUGACUACGUGUGGGGAUUUUGUCCGGGUAAGACCCGAUAACUUCGUGUGGAGAUUAUGUCCGGGUAAGACUUCGUAAUAAGAAUUGCUUAUAAAUAUAUUCAAUGCGAAAGGUUAAACAGGUAUGUACUCCAAGUUUAUAUGUGAGCUUGAUUUGCACUAAAUCAUAAGGUAGUUAUGUGAUGCAUACGAGAGCAAUCUAUGAGACUAUUCCUAUGAUUAUGUGACAUCGGAUCAGUGUGAGAGGUUAUGUGAAAUCAUACGAUAUAUCUAUGUCACAUGAGCUCACUUUUAUGUGAAAGUUUAUCUGCCUAUUGUAUAUGAUGAGAUGUGCAUAUUCGGUAAAGGGAUGGUAUGCCCGAAGGAAGGGUGAAAUAAAAAUACGAACAACUAUGUUAUAAUUUGAUUGUUAUCUGUUGACACUGCUUAAAACUUACUAAGCAUUGUAAUGCUUACUCCGUUUACUCUGUUUCCUCUGUUUUAUAGAUCUCAUUGCGAAGCUACAGGCUCGGGGAUCGUCAGCAACUAGUCACACUAUCACUAUCUACUGUUUGGUACUGCUAUGUUUUGGAUUAUCUUAUGGCAUGUAUAAAAUAGACUAGUGGCGGA